rnacentral:piRNA from 1 species
UGUCAUGAGUGUUUAUGCUUCCUAUUAUGC